GGAUGAGCCUUUCGAUGUAUGCUUCUGUGACUAAUAUCAUCCCCAACUUGGGUGACGGCUCCAAAAUUUCAGGAUAUAUUGUUGACCGGGAGAAAAGGGUGGUGGAUAGAUUUGAGUUCGACUCGACAAAGAUGACUGCCUUUGACACAUGCACAAAUAUCUGGAGGAUGAUUAGUAACUCAUAGGUGGAGGGUAGGUGAAUGAUCUCCUUCGGGAAGAAGCCGAAUGGAAUAUCCUCCAAAUCUUGGGGGAUCGGUCGAUUCCUCUCUUCAUUAGUGAAAGUACUAACAGGAACGAAGUCUAAUUCGGCACAUUUUUCCGGUAUGACACCUGUGUGUUUUCGAGAAAUCGGGAUGGACCCCCGAACGCUGUCGAGGUGGGGAUGGGGACCGAAUUGAGCGCUUAACCGUCUUUCCGGGUCAUUCCAUUUUUAGCAAACUAUGGCUAGGUGUAGGGGAAGAACUUGUAUGUGCAAAAUGCAGGUUUUUGGGUGUGUUCUUGUGAAUCAUACCGUGCUAGCAUCUUUUGAGGUGACAUGAGCAGUUAAUCCAUGUUUAUUUUUUUUCUUGUUUA